rnacentral:rRNA from 1 species
ACAUGUCCGGAAUCCUGCAGAGAGUGCGGGAGUGCCCGAAAGGGAAUCGGAACACAGGUGCUGCAUGGCUGUCGUCAGCUCGUGUCGUGAGAUGUUGGGUUAAGUCCCGCAACGAGCGCAACCCUUAUCAUUAGUUGCUACGCAAGGGCACUCUAAUGAGACUGCCGGUGACAAACCGGAGGAAGGUGGGGAUGACGUCAAGUCCUCAUGGCCCUUAUGGGUAGGGCUUCACACGUCAUACAAUGGUCGGUACAGAGGGUUGCCAAGCCGCGAGGUGGAGCCAAUCCCAGAAAGCCGAUCGUAGUCCGGAUUGUUCUCUGCAACUCGAGAGCAUGAAGUCGGAAUCGCCAGUAAUCGCGGAUCAGCAUGUCGCGGUGAAUACGUUCCCGGGUCUU